CCUACGGGUGAUAGCAGUGGGGGAUAUUGGACAAUGGGGGGAACCCUGAUCCAGCGACGCCGCGUGAGUGAAGAAGUAUUUCGGUAUGUAAAGCUCUGUCAGCAGGGAAGAAAGAAAUGACGGUACCUGACCAAGAAGCCCCGGCUAACUACGUGCCAGCAGCAGCGGUAAUACGUAGGGGGCAAGCGUUAUCCGGAUUUACUGGGUGUAAAGGGAGCGUGAACGGUUCUAUAAGUCCGGAGUGAAAGCCCUGGGCCCAACCCCGGGACUGCUUGGGAAACUGUGUAACUGGAGUACAGGAGUGGCAGGCGGAAUGCCUGGUGUAGCGGUGAAAUGCGUAGAUAUCAGGAGGAACACCGUCGGCGAAGGCGGCCUGCUGGACUGAAACUGACGUUGAGGCUCGAAAGCGUGGGGAGCAAACAGGAUUAGAUACCCCAGUAGUC
rnacentral:rRNA from 1 species